UAAAGGUCAUGGGAUCGAGCUUUGGAAACAGCAAAAAUGUAGGGUAAAACUGUAUGCAAUAGUUCCUUGGUCUGAUCCUUACCGUACCUCGCACAUAACAGGAACUUAAUGCACAAGCCAGCCCUUAUCCUUCCACAGGUUCCACGUGCAAGGUCCUAAUUAUCCCAUUUUAUUGUUCUCUUGAUAUGAAGUCUUUUCACUUCCUAUUUUAAUUUAUGUACUUAUUGUUGUACUUCACCAAAUAAAUUCCAUGAAGAAAUUCGUCACUUCAGCAAAUAAAUUUCCUUGAAGAAAUUUGUCAAGUUCUAUAUAUUUCUGUUUUACGCAGUGAUAUAGUCUGGUUCUGUGUCUUCAUUUCGCCAUAACCAAACUAGACAAUUGCACCUUGUUCUACUUAUCACAUUAGAAUUACACUUCUAUCUCGUCAACACCCUGCUAAUUUCAGGCUAUGGGAAGAAUUACGUCGGAGCCCCUAAACUGUGAGCUUCUACACUUGAACAUUUUUAUUUUAUGGGUGACUUGAACCUUCAACUUUUGAAUGGAAUAUAAUUGGCUCUUUCGGCUGUUUUACCGCACUGACCACAUCCAUCAGGUUCUUGAUCAAUAGGAGUAAAUUGAUGAGCACCGGGCCGGAAAUCUAAGUUGCGGAGACACUUCACUUUUGGCGCCACACAUGCGUCGACAAGACCUAGGUGUGUGUGUGACAUCCAUACCUAAUAUGGUCGAACAAUUUUGGGUACUUUGAUCAAAAUCGAUAGAAAAAUUCGAGACAGAUGCAAUGAUUUCUGAUUCGAACUUAACAGUAAACAAUGAAAAGAUAAUUGAAGAUUUGAACUUGCUCCCAAAAGAUUGUGCAUUCCUUUCAUUUCAAAUAUUCCACCAUAAUUUAGGCAUAUUUUUAUCUCUUAUUUUUUGAUAUUUGAAUGAUUUUUAGCUGAAUUCCCACUCCCAUAUCCUUACUUAAAUCCGAACCACCAAAUUAUAGAAGGAUUCGCACCUGAGUUCGAGCAACUUGGCAGGGAAGGAAAAAAAGAUGAUGUCUUGGUAGUUCUAUGCUGCACCUUGAAAACGAUCUCUUCUGAUUAUUUUGGAUCUGGUUGUUUCAUGAAACCGAAAAAUUAACAACCAUCCUAAUGACCUCCUUUCUGUCUGCUUUCUUCUUGACAUGUGAUUACUUUUUAUAUGAAGAACAGCUGAUAAAAUAUUUGAAAUCAUGUUUAGCA